rnacentral:rRNA from 1 species
UACGGAGGAUGCAAGCGUUAUCCGGAAUGAUUGGGCGUAGAGCGUCCGCAGGUGGCAAUGUAAGUCUGCUGUUAAAGAGUCUAGCUCAACUAGAUAAAAGCAGUGGAAACUACAUAGCUAGAGUACGUUCGGGGCAGAGGGAAUUCCUGGUGUAGCGGUGAAAUGCGUAGAGAUCAGGAAGAACACCGGUGGCGAAGGCGCUCUGCUAGGCCGUAACUGACACUGAGGGACGAAAGCUAGGGGAGCGAAUGGG